GGUAACGUGAGUACACAGUGUUUACAACUUAUGUUUUUUCAAAGGUGGUAUUGGCCGCGAUAUCGCGGUCGCACAUUUUAGCAGCCAGACGGUGUUCUCCAGACGUCGCGUUGGUGGCCACGCGUGAACACAUCCAGCGUCUGUCAAGGCGGCUCUCAAGAGCUGCGCGGUGUGAUGUGCAGACCUCCAAGGUGGGCGCGGAGGACACUGGAGUGAUCAAGGCGGCUCUCAAGAGCUGCGCGGUGUGAAGUGCAGACCUCCAAGGUGGUAUUGGCCGCGGUAUCGCCGUCGAACAGUUUAGCAGCCAGACGGUCUUCUCCAGACGUCGCGUUGGUGGCCACGCGUGAACAAAUCCAACGUCUGACAUGGCGGCUCUCAAGAGCUGCGCGGUGUGAAGUGCAGACCUCCAAGGUGGUAUUGGCCGCAUUAUCGCGGUCGCACAUUUUAGCAGCCAGACGGUCUUCUCCAGACGUCGCGUUGGUGGCCACGCGUGAACUCAUCCAGCGUCUGGCAUGGCGGCUCUCAAGAGCUGCGCGGUGUGAUGUACAGACCUCCAUGGUGGGCGCGGAGGACACCGGAGUAAUCUGUCGACAAAUAUAAACUUCAAAAUUAUAAACGUCGCCCUAUUAUGGUGGGUUGAUACGAUAUCUGUAAAUUAAAGUGCUAAAUUAUCGUAGAACGCCAUGCUAAUAAAUCGUUGUUUCCUG